ACCGCCCGUCACACCACGAGAGUUUGUAACACCCGAAGCCGGUGGGGUAACCCGUAAGGGAGCUAGCCGUCGAAGGUGGGACAGAUGAUUGGGGUGAAGUCGUAACAAGGUAGCCGUAUCGGAAGGUGCGGCUGGAUCACCUCCUUUCUAAGGAA
rnacentral:rRNA from 1 species